rnacentral:tRNA from 1 species
UGGGGGAUCGUCUAGCGGCAGGACUGCGGGUUCUGGCCCCGCCAACCUAGGUUCGAAUCCUAGUCCCCCAGCCA